rnacentral:rRNA from 1 species
CCUUCGGGAGCCGACGAGUGGCGGACGGGUGAGUAACGCGUAGGAAUCUGCCUCAUAGUGGGGGACAACGUGGGGAAACUCACGCUAAUACCGCAUACGCCCUACGGGGGAAAGCGGGGGACCUUCGGGCCUCGCGCUAUGAGAUGAGCCUGCGUUAGAUUAGCUAGUUGGUAGGGUAAAGGCCUACCAAGGCGACGAUCUAUAGCUGGUCUGAGAGGACGAUCAGCCACACUGGGACUGAGACACGGCCCAGACUCCUACGGGAGGCAGCAGUGGGGAAUAUUGGACAAUGGGCGCAAGCCUGAUCCAGCAAUACCGCGUGUGUGAAGAAGGCCCUAGGGUUGUAAAGCACUUUCAAUGGGGAGGAAAACAGUCAGUUUAAUACGCUGACUCUUGACAUUACCUGUAGAAGAAGCACCGGCUAACUCCGUGCCAGCAGCCGCGGUAAUACGGAGGGUGCGAGCGUUAAUCGGAAUUACUGGGCGUAAAGCGUGCGUAGGCGGUGAGUUAAGUCAGAUGUGAAAGCCCCGGGCUCAACCUGGGAACUGCAUUUGAUACUGGCACACUAGAGUUUAAUAGAGGGGAGUGGAAUUUCAGGUGUAGCGGUGAAAUGCGUAGAUAUCUGAAGGAACACCAGUGGCGAAGGCGACUCCCUGGAUUAAAACUGACGCUGAGGUACGAAAGCGUGGGUAGCAAACAGGAUUAGAUACCCUGGUAGUCCACGCCGUAAACGAUGUCAACUAGCCGUUGGUCCUAUUUACAGGAUUAGUGGCGCAGCUAACGCAUUAAGUUGACCGCCUGGGGAGUACGGCCGCAAGGUUAAAACUCAAAUGAAUUGACGGGGGCCCGCACAAGCGGUGGAGCAUGUGGUUUAAUUCGAUGCAACGCGAAGAACCUUACCUACCCUUGACAUCCAGAGAAUCAA